AUUGAACGCUGGCGGCAUGCCUUACACAUGCAAGUCGAACGGUAACGCGGGGCAACCUGGCGACGAGUGGCGAACGGGUGAGUAAUGCAUCGGAACGUGCCCAGUAGUGGGGGAUAGCCCGGCGAAAGCCGGAUUAAUACCGCAUACGACCUACGGGUGAAAGGGGGGGAUCGCAAGACCUCUCGCUAUUGGAGCGGCCGAUGUCAGAUUAGGUAGUUGGUGGGGUAAAGGCCUACCAAGCCGACGAUCUGUGGCUGGUCUGAGAGGACGACCAGCCACACUGGGACGGAGACACGGCCCAGACUCCUACGGGAGGCAGCAGUGGGGAAUUUUGGACAACGGGCGCAAGCCUGAUCCGGCCAUGCCGCGUGCGGGAAGAAGGCCUUCGGGUUGUAAACCGCUUUUGUCAGGGAAGAAAUCUUCUGAGUUAAUACCUCGGGAGGAUGACGGUACCUGAAGAAUAAGCACCGGCUAACUACGUGCCAGCCGCCGCCGUAACAC
rnacentral:rRNA from 1 species